CCUGGCCUUCACAGGACAGUAGUUAAAGUGCCUCUACUUGAAACCUAGUUUUUGUGUUGCUAGGGUUCUUUCUCAAAGCUACCGGGGUUGCGUCUCUGCUUCUGUCGCCAUGAGGGCCAAGUGGAAAAAGAAGAGAAUGAGGAGGUUGAAGAGGAAGCGCCGAAAGAUGAGACAAAGAUCCAAGUAGAAUGGUUCGAUAAAUUCCAAAGAACAAAAUUGGAGUAGUUUGUUUCCGUAUGGUUAAGAGUCUUUAGAGUAUGAACUUUAGUUCGCAAUUCUCUCCUGUUUUGAUGAUACAUUUUGAAUUUUCAGUUUUAUGCACUUGGGAGUCUAUCUUUAGCUUAAUUACGUCUCUGAAGGUUUUUGGCAAGUAUAUUAAACAUUUUUAUGCAUUUGCUAUUGAUUUUAACCAUUUGAGAUUAUAGGCAG